rnacentral:rRNA from 1 species
GAGACUCUGUGCGCGUGCAUAUCAAUAAGCGGAGGAAAAGAAACUAACAAGGAUUCCCUUAGUAACGGCGAGUGAAGCGGGAAGAGCUCAAAUUUGAAAUCUUCAAGGUUCUACCUUGACGAAUUGUAGUUUAAAGAAGUGUUUUCUGUUAGAUGAGUAGCAAAAGUUCCUUGGAAUGGGACAUCAUAGAGGGUGAGAAUCCCGUAUUUGGUUAUUCAUUCUAGCUUUGUGAUACACUUUCAAAGAGUCGGAUUGUUUGGGAAUGCAGUCCAAAAUGGGUGGUAAAUUUCAUCUAAAGCUAAAUAUUGGCGAGAGACCGAUAGCGAACAAGUACCGUGAGGGAAAGAUGAAAAGAACUUUGAAAAGAGAGUUAAACAGUACGUGAAAUUGUCAAAAGGGAAGCGUUUGACACCAGUGUUGUUUUUCCGAAAAUCAAUUACGAAUGGCUUGAUUUUGUGUUGUAUUGACCUUAUCAGCUUUCUUCACUUUUUUCGAGUCUUUCUUAAUGCACUUUUCGGUUAACAAGUCAACAUCAAUUUCUUUUGUUGUAAAAGAGUAUUCGGAAGGUGCUUUCUUUUCGGAGAAAGUGUUUAUAGCCCUAUACUUCUACAAUCGGAGAGAUUGAGGUCUGCAGCGUAGAUCCUUCGGGGUUAGAUACACUUGUGCUAAGUUGUAGCUUUUCAUAGACAACUUGUUGACUAUGUUUAGUCAUGCGGCUUACUCGCUUGUGCUAUUUUACCUACGCUUAGGAUGUUGACUGAUAUGUAGUCGUA